rnacentral:lncRNA from 1 species
AAAAAAAUGAAACAAAUCUCCAAUUUUACCAAACUGGCCAUUUAUAUGAAAUGUCCAAUACUUUAUUUAUAUAAAAAAUAUGUAAUCAAUAUAAAGUUGUUAACCCCCAAUGCAUUUUAAUAUUGAACUAUAUAAAAAAAAAACCAACCAAAUCUCGCGGAAUCAUAACCAUUUGUGCACUUACCAAUAGGACGUUACCCUCC